rnacentral:tRNA from 1 species
GGCGGGAUGGCUCAGUUGAUAGAGCAUGAGACUCUUAAUCACAGGUUCAUGGGUUUGAGCCCCACUUUGGGUG